AAUUAUGGUGGGCUGAGUGAGGCUAUCUUCGGAUAGGCCGUUUCCUGUAGGCGGUAGUCUCAACCUUGCUCAGUUCACCACCCAG
rnacentral:antisense_RNA from 1 species